CAGGGAAAAAAAAAGCUCUUCUUCCAGAACUUCCCUGGGCACGGAAUUUUCCCUCUUAGGAAGAUAGGAGCUUUUCUGGAAACAGAUCCAACUGCGCUUUGAAAAACUUUGGAAAAGACCCUGAACCCUGUAACUCCUCUGAAUCCCCAGUCCCAGGAACAGGGACACCCAAUCAAUGCCUCACACACAGCCUGGGGAGCCCACAGCUGAGCCGGCCCUCUUAUCACGUCUCUUGGACAAAAAGUAUUGAAAAGUUCAUGUGGCAUGAAAAGACGACAGACUCAGGAGGGCCCCAGAGGCGCACACUUUGAUUUUUAUCUACGUUGCUUUCCCAGAAAGUUCCUGAGAAGUCAGACGCUUUGCUUCGUUGCAUAAUAUCGGGUCAGCCCAAGCCAGAGGUAACUUCGUAUAAGAAUGGUCAAACCGUAGAUGAGUGUGGCAUUGUCUCCAGUUGUGAAUUCUUUGAGAAUCAAUAUAUUCAUCUGUUACAUCUCUAUUGGACCUGGGUCAUCCAACAUUUCUUGUGUAAGAAUGGAAGGAAGGAGAAGUGAUGGACCCUGACCCCAUAGCAAGUUGGUGGUGGAGUUAAGGCUAGAAACUGUACCUCCUGGCUUGGUUUGAGGAAGUAGCGUGGUGUUUCUCAUUCUUUUUCGUUCCCCCAAGAACUAUGUGUUUGGAUGAAAUCAGGAAGCUCCACGUGUGAAGUAGAGAAAAUGAAAACUCCUCUGGUUGAAGCUGGGUGGGGAGUCUGUGCUCUUGGUCCCCAGUGCUACUGAAUUGAUCUUCAUGUCAGUUAUGGUGGCUCUGAGGAGACUGAGGUCUGCAGAGCAUGGUAUGAAAAUGACUGGUAGGCAUGGGUGUGUGUACAUAGCUUUGGAGCUGAAAAUAACAAAGUGAAGACUUGGGUUUGCAUUUUAGUUCUGCCAUUUUCUGGCUGUGUGACCUUGGCCAGUUACUUAACCUCUCCGAAACUCAAUCUCUUCAUCCCUAAAAUGGUGGCUGAGAGAAUUAAAUGAUUUAGUGCUUGUAAAAGGCUUGUUAUAGAGUAGUUGCUCAAUAAAAGCUUUCUUA